rnacentral:pre_miRNA from 1 species
GCAUUAUUAGGCUGCAUGUAAACGUACACAAUAGUUCUGACCUUUGAGUAAAAUUUGGUAAGUGCUAUUUGUUGGGGUAGUUUGAAGUGA